rnacentral:rRNA from 2 species
GCGAGUAAUGUCGGGAACUCCAGGGAGACUGCCGGUGAUAAACCGGAGGAAGGUGGGGACGACGUCAAGUCAUCAUGGCCCUUACGAGUAGGGCUACACACGUGCUACAAUGGCGCAUACAGAGGGCAGCCAACUUGCGAAAGUGAGCGAAUCCCAAAAAGUGCGUCGUAGUCCGGAUUGGAGUCUGCAACUCGACUCCAUGAAGUCGGAAUCGCUAGUAAUCGUGGAUCAGAAUGCCACGGUGAAUACGUUCCCGGGCCUUGUACACACCGCCCGUCACACCAUGGGAGUGGGCUGCAAAAGAAGUAGGUAGUUUAACCUUCGGGGGGACGCUUACCACUUUGUGGUUCAUGACUGGGGUGAAGUCGUAACAAGGUAGCGCUAGGGGAACCUGGCGCUGGAUCACCUCCUUAUACGAUGAU